rnacentral:tRNA from 1 species
GGGCGCGUAGCCAAGUCCGGUUGAAGGCACCGGGUUUUGAUCCCGGCAUUCGCUGGUUCGAAUCCAGGCGCGCUCUCCC